AUCUAAGUCAAGGAAGGCCCAACUGCCUUAUUAUGAUUCUCCUACCUUCAAACGUCUUUACCGAGUUCCAUGGACCAGAAAGUUUGAUGAGGGUCAGCGAUGGUUGUCAUGUCCAGAGAGAUCUACUCAUCAACCAUCAGUGAAGUCCAAGACCUGCAGUUGAUAAUCUUACUAACAAUGGAAGAUGAAUUGCCCUCUCUAAGACUGGGCACCUGCAGACACACCAUCAUCAGAUGAAGUCUACCUCUCCAUCAGAAAUAGAUGCAUGAAGCCCACCAUAAAGAUCCAAGGAUGUCUUCAUCAAUAGGCCAGCUGCAGACACACCAUCAUCAGAUGAAGUCUACCUCUCCAUCAGAAAUAGAUGCACGAAGCCCACCAUAAAGAUCCAAGGAUGUCUUCAUCAAUAGGCCAGCUGCAGACACACCAUCAUCAGAUGAAGUCUACCUCUCCAUCAGAAAUAGAUGCAUGAAGCCCACCAUAAAGAUCCAAGGAUGUCUUCAUCAAUAGGUUUGCCAUAUGCAGAUGAUAUCUACCCGUCAAUUCCUGAGACCUGCAACAGUGCCCACUAAGUGUUAAACAACCAAACAGAGGUAUAUGUAGGUGUUUUACACUAACAUCAAAAAGUGGUCUGUUUUUGCAGCACUUGAACAAACAUAAUACCUCACAUGCCACAACAUUGAUGGGGAGUUUAUGCGGACACCAGUCUAACCCAUUUUGCGUGGUUCGUCCCUUCAGAUUGAUUACAGAUUUAAAAAAUAGGAAACAUGUUUAUGAUUAACAACACCCUUAAUUUAUAUAGAUAAUUCAGCACAUUCCUUAAAGCAUACCACCUUUUUGUGGUGAAUUAUAAAAGUUGGUUAUAUGGUACAGAUAUUAAUGUUUUGUAGAGUUGAAGAUGGAAAUGCAACAGUUUUGUGUAACAUUAAUUAUAUAGUUUGCAAUAAACAUUAUUAAGAUGCUGAUGAAUCAGAGAGUUUGAUGAACUCCUAAUGUCUUUCUCAAAAAACCUCAAAAAUUUCAUUUCAUAUUUGAAAGAUACAUUUUGGCCAAGUUUGAGUCCAAAGUUGUAAGUAAAACAAAUUGGUUUAUUUAAGAAAUCAAGUAACAUUUAUGGUUCUUGAGAUUAACCUUGCAAGGGUAAAUUGCUACCACCAGAGGAGGGCCUGGUCAGUUGACCUUUCCCUUUUGCAACUUUCCUAAUAUUUUACCUCUAUACAUUUGUUUUCUGUAAAGUUUCAUGGCACUACAUUCUUGAAGGCUUUUUGAGGGAGAAAUCGACAAUGGAAACAUAAAAUAUCGUUGAGGCAUUUAAAACAUCAAAUAAUUGUGGAUAAACAAUUUAUUGACUCACUUGAUUUUGUAAGAUUUCAGAAAGUUUAAUUGAUAUUAAGUAAAUCCAAGGGCCUAAUUUCAUAGAGCUGCUUAACAGUCGAUUUUGUGCUUAACAGGCGCACCUAGCCAAUUUUUCAUAGCCUUGCUUGUGUGUGUCCGCGGUAGGUGCAGCGAAGUAAACAAGUUUCUAAAAUGCUUUAGAAAUAUUGUACUAUGUAUCUUCUUGUUUACUCUCAAUUAAGUGUGUAAACCUUUCAAGGGGCGCAUUGACUCAUUUCAAAUAAUACACAUUUUAGCGCCACCCUACAUUUAUUGCAUCCGCCAUUUUGUCAGCACCUUCUUUUUUGCUUAAGCAAUUGAUCUAAAAUGUUGCGCACGCAGUUUGUUUACGUGCUUAAGCUUGCAACCGCUUGUGAAAUAAGUUUACGCUAUAUUUUUGCUGCGUUAAGCAAAACAGUUUGCUCACCAUUAAGCGGCUCUAUGAAAUUGGGCCAUGACGCAAUCUUGCCUCUUAGGAAUGUUAUUGUAAAAAGUAAGCUCACCAUUUACAAGCAAAGCACACUUAAGAUAAGAUAAGAUAAGAUAAGAACUUUAUUAUCCCACACUGGGGAAAUUAAAACUUGCCAUGAUUCAAACAGUCCAGAAAAAAAAACACUAAAAAUUGUGUAACAAUACACAGACUGGUAAAAAUGUUAAUUAAGAAUAUCAGGUGUAAAACAAUCAGGUAAACAUUGUGUGUAUUUGAAGUUGGAAAUCAUUUAUUAAAUAUAUGUAAUUAAUAAUAUAACUGCUUGCAUAGUGCAAAUAAUUUAAAGGCACUGAACACGUUUGGUAAUUGUCAAAGACCAG